rnacentral:lncRNA from 1 species
GUGAUGACGAUAAAAAGGAGGACAAAGGGUCCUAAAAUGGCAGGGAUAGACACCGGUACGGAGGAAACUCCACGACUGACCAACACUGUGCAUCUUAGGCGUAUCAAAUGGGCCGUCCUGGACAAUUUGCACAUGCUAAAAAGUCAUGAGAAGGAGGUAAAGAUCAGACUGAAGGUGGAAAAACAGGCCCUGGAGAAACAGAAAGAUUAUUUUAAGAGAGAGCAAAAAAAUAUGACGCCGGAGCACAAGAAGUAUAUCAGCGAAUACCUGCUAAUUCAGGAGACCGAGAUAAAAUUAAACCAGAGAGCAGCACAGGACAAUAUAAAAAGAGAGAGAGCUAAACUCCAAUUAGACUUGCGUGACUGCACUAAGCAGCUGAAAGAGGUGGAAGAGAAAGAAAGACAGAUGAUGAAGAUCCUGGAGAGGCAAUGGAAGGCUCAAGAAAAGCAAGUGAAAUGGCAACUCGCAGAGGAAGAGAAGCAGCUCAAAGAGGCAAUGAAGAUACUGAACAAAAACGCGGCCUCUGAGGAAAAGAGAAAGCUGGAAGUGGAGAAGAAGAGGGCAAAAGAAGAAAAUAAGAGAUUGGAGAAGGACCUCAUGGAAAAGAAAAAGAGAGAGAAGGAAGAGCUGGUAGAGAAGAAAAGGAGAGAGAAGGAAGAGCUGGUAGAGAAGAAAAGGAGAGAGAAGGAAGAGCUGGUAGCGAAGAAAAUGGGAGAGAAGGAAGAGUUGGCCCAGAGGCAAAAGAGAGAGAUGGAGCUUAAACAGGUAGAGAUGGAAAUGAGGAAGUGUUUCUUGGGUUGAGAGAUAUACAGGGAGGAAUAAGAUAAGAAAAUGCUGACCAAAGAAAUGGCUGAGGUAAAAACCCAAGAGAAGGCAUAGAAGAAGAGAAUGAAAGAUGAGUUGGCGUAGAAGAGAAAGAGAGAGAAAGAGGAGUUGGCAGAGAAGAGAAAGAUAGAGAAAGAAGAGAUGGCAAAGGUGCAGAAGACAGAGAAGGAGGCAAAAAACAUCUUCAAGGCAAAAUCUGAACAUAUUU